rnacentral:rRNA from 1 species
GGCUCAGAUUGAACGCUGGCGGCAGGCCUAACACAUGCAAGUCGAGCGGUAGAGAGGUGCUUGCAUCUCUUGAGAGCGGCGGACGGGUGAGUAAUGCCUAGGAAUCUGCCUGGUGGUGGGGGGAUAACGUUCGGAAACGGACGCUAAUACCGCAUACGUCCUACGGGAGAAAGCGGGGGGAUCUUCGGACCUCGCGCCAUUAGAUGAGCCUAGGUCGGAUUAGCUAGUUGGUGAGGUAAUGGCUCACCAAGGCGACGAUCCGUAACUGGUCUGAGAGGAUGAUCAGUCACACUGGAACUGAGACACGGUCCAGACUCCUACGGGAGGCAGCAGUGGGGAAUAUUGGACAAUGGGCGAAAGCCUGAUCCAGCCAUGCCGCGUGUGUGAAGAAGGUCUUCGGAUUGUAAAGCACUUUAAGUUGGGAGGAAGGGUAGUAACCUAAUACGUUGCUACUUUGACGUUACCGACAGAAUAAGCACCGGCUAACUUCGUG